rnacentral:rRNA from 1 species
CAGCCGCCGCGGUAAUACCAACCCCGCGAGUGGUCGGGACGUUUAUUGGGCCUAAAGCGUCCGUAGCCGGCCCGGUAAGUCCCUCCUUAAAGCCCACGGCUCAACCGUGGGAGCGGAGGGAUACUGCCGGGCUAGGGGGCGGGAGAGGCCGGGGGUACUCCUGGGGUAGGGGCGAAAUCCUAUAAUCCCAGGAGGACCACCAGUGGCGAAGGCGCCCGGCUGGCACGCGCCCGACGGUGAGGGACGAAAGCUGGGGGAGCAAAGGGGAUUAGAUACCCCCGUAGUCCCAGCUGUAAACGAUGCGGGCUAGAUGUUGGGCGGGCCUCGAGCCCGCCCAGUGUCGGAGGGAAGCCGUUAAGCCCGCCGCCUGGGGAGUACGGCCGCAAGGCUGAAACUUAAAGGAAUUGGCGGG